CCCUGAGAACAUUAUUCCAAUGAUCAAACACUCCAGAGAGAAUGGCUAAAUGGACAGUCAAACUCAGUGAGUUCGAUCUUUCUUAUAUCCCGCAAUCCUCGAUGAAAGCUCAAAUACUUACUGACUUUAUUAUCAAAUGCAUGCCUACUGAUGAUAGCCAAAUCGAGGACCAAUCUCAAGAAGAGACUUCAGAGCCAGCAUGGAU
rnacentral:lncRNA from 1 species